rnacentral:lncRNA from 1 species
CAUGGUCCUGCGGGGUGGACUGACGCCUCUGCAGACGACACCGGGAGGGCUCGCCCUGGAAGGAGCAGGGCUCAGAAAGGCACAGAAACCAAGCCAAGCUCUGCUCUCAGUCUCCAGCCAUGUCUUCUGCGUGGGAAAAAAAAAGCGAUGCCAUUAUGGAAUCAUUUUUCCUCCCGCCUCGGCCGAUAGAUAAAUAAGGGUUUCCAGGAAAGAAGAUGCGCCCAAAGCGUCCCCCAUUUCUCGCGAGGAAAACCACAGGUGUUAAAAAGCAAAGGAGUUCUUCCAGGACGGCCCGCUGUUUCUUCUGUCUCCCAGAGGAGGCGGUGGGCAUCCCCUUGGUCUGAGGGCAGCUCUGCUCUGCCUGCCUCACUUCUCCUUCCUCCCUACUCCCCGGCUUGCCAGAAAGCCCUGUCAUUCCUGCCAGGUCUUUGAGUCAACCCAUCAACCCUUGAGGUGCAGAGAACUGACUCCACUUCCUCACCAUGGCGAUGCUCUGGCUCCAGCAUAUCUUGAGGGCGUUUGGUCAACCCAGUGUGGCCACCCCUACCUCUUGGAUGGCCUUUCGUCUUCAUUUGAUUCCUACAUACCUCAAGAGCAGUGUGCUGGACAAACGACGACCCCCAAAGAUGUCCACAUCCCAGUCCUGGAAACUGUGACUACGUAGAUUACACGGCAAAGGAGAGAGAAGGUUACAGGUGGAAUUAAGGCUGAUAAUCUGUUGACUUUAAAAUAGGAAGAUAAAUGGUGUGCAAAUAUUUUUUCCCAGUUGGUGGGUUGUCUUUUCGUUUUUUUCGUGGUUUCCUUUGCUUUGCAGAAGCUUUUUAGUCUGAUGCAGUUCCAUUUGUUAACUUUUUCUUUUUUUCCCUUGCC